AAAACAUAUGAAACAACCCAAAGACAAUGUGAGAACUUCCUGCUAGUCCCAUCCUUGUCAACUUAAAAUAUUAGGUAUUUUUAAACAAUUGACAUCUAUAUCUUAAGCAGUUUCAUCCCCAUGGAUCAAGAUCAUGUAAAACUAUUAUUCUUUUAACAAAGUUGAAGCUUAUAGGGGAGGAAACUAGAAUGUAUAUACUUGCACAAGUCUGGAUCUGUCUUUAUGAAUCAUAAAUAUAACUUCAACAAAGAAAUUAUACCCAGCUCUGCUAUGUCAAUGAGUAUGGGGUGGGGGUUCAGGGCAGGGGGAAAACAGGCAUCUUUUUCUCUCAGCCUGAUUGUGUUCCUCACCUGGCAAUAGAGCCUGGCAGAGAACAAGGCUUUGGAGACAGACAUUCCUAGGUUCCAUGUCUUUUUCUGCAACUUAACAGCACUUUAACUUUCAGUAUACUACUUGACUUCUAAACAUCAGACUUCUCAUCUGUAAAAUGGAGUUACUAAUAACAGAAUUUAAACAAGGUGAAAUUUCCUGUGGUCAACAACUUUUAACAAAUACAAAUGGCAGAUUCAUAUGGUUUUACUCAAUUUUAUCUACACCACAGGGAUGUUUGUGAGAAUCAAGUGAGAUUAUAGCAUUAUUUGAAUUUUCUCUCAUCAACAAAACUUUCCUUAUUCAUUCUAUAGUUAAUAUGGAGUCAGGUGGAGAAAUGGAAUCCACAUCUAUAGAGAGCAUUAUAUACGAGUAAGGAGAAGAUGUCAAAUAUUUUACCUUCUCCUAUCAAAUUUUCUAAUUGGAUUUCAUUUAACCACUACUAAGAGAGAUUCUCCUUGUUGAGAUUUUAAAAAGCUAAUGAAGAGUUGCUCUAUCAAUUACUAAGAAGUGGAGAUGUUCAGAACUCAGGCUGUCAGAGCAAAAUAACAAUUAUGUUUCCUCCAUAAAGCUAAAUUAAAUUAUUAAGUCAGCAAUUUUCAAGUUGUGGACUCUGAAGACCCAGGGCUCUAUAAGACAUCACUGGGGAAUCCUUAAAAAGCAAACACAGUCAUUAGAUAAAACAUUUAACUUAGAACAGCCUCUCUUCCUCCUACAUUAAUUGGACUCUACAAUAAGAAGUGGGAUCAGAAACCAAAAAGAACAAGAGACAAAAACAAAACAACUAAAUCUAAGGCAGAAGGAUCCCACAACUUGAGAGCGUUUAAUGGGUUAGGCAGUGACUCCACAGGAUCCUGUCCAAGCAGUAAAUGUUACUUAAACCAGACUUGCUUUCAAAAAUAAUUGGGGUAGAGGAUAAAGAUAAUGAAAGUUUUGAAUCUACUUAGUGUUAGCUACAUCUCAAGUUCUGUAUGUUUUGCUAUAUAGUCUCUCAAUUUGCAAAGCCACUUUCAAUUUUAAAUAGUAUUUCCUCUAGAUUCAGAAAAGUAGACCUGCUACUUCCAUAGUCUGUGUCUGAUCUGUGAAAAAAUUGACAAUCACCAUAAAAUAUUACUAAAAAUAUUUUGGAUUUGGCAAAUGCAAUCACAUUUUUGCCUUCUGAGUGGUUUCUCUGAAUUUUAAUUCCGAGGACAUUUCAGGGAAAAUUUAAUUUUCACUUCUCUGAUUAAUUUGCACUUCGUUUUUCAUAAUAUUUUCUAAGAGCUACUUUAUAGCCAAAAAAAAGAUGAGCUUUUGGUUCUAUGAAUAAGUAAGUCAUAUUUUCCACAAAAUAAAUGGAUCAAAAUUAAUUAAAUGGUGACAUGUUUUUAAGCUCAAAACUCAUAGAAUUGAUACUUGAUAAACUCUUAUACUCAUUCAUCUGUUUAAAGAUCACCUACAAUAUACAAAGCCUAUGCUAUAUAUUAAGUUGAUAUAGAAAAAUGAACAAAGAAAUUGCCCCUAUCUUCACAAAGCUUCCCAUCUCCUGGAGAGGCUUGUGAAACCAAACUAAAACAAAAUGUAAUAAAUAUAAAGGAAAUGGAAUUUUUCAAAGUAAAACGGGAGGUCCAAAGCAUGAAACUGCCAAUCACAGUUAGAAGUGUCAUUUUCCAAGAACAGUUCCUUGGAGAAAAUACCAAUUUAUUUGGGUUUCAAAGGAUGUGUGAAGUUUUAAUAAUGAAACAGGGAAUGAAAGGCAUUACAGACACUGACUAACAUGACAAAAAACAUGAAGGAAUGAGAAUUAUGUUUUGUACUGGAGGAUGAAAAAAGAUUUUGACUGAAAUGGUUGGAGUGAAGGGUACUUGCCAAGAGGGAGAUGUGGCAAUAAAAAGUUGAAGUGGUAGGUUGGUCCAGAUUAUAAAAGAUCUUGAAUGUCUUGCUAAGAAAUUAGAAUUUUUUAAUUUAAAAAAUGGAAUCAUGAAUCAAGACGAUGGAGCAGGAAGACAUGGAGUGCACCUUCUCUGACAAAUACAUUUUAAAAAAAAGUCUACGCGUGGAACAGUUAUCAUGGAAAACCAAUGGAAAACCAGCAGAAGUUCUCCUAUACAACUAGAGCUGCAAGAAAAAUCUUCAUAUAAACAGGUAGGACAGAAAAAAAGGCAUAGAGUCAAGACCUGAAUCCCUGAGAGAGAUUUGAAAGAAAGAGAAGUUCUACAUGGGUGGACUCGUCCUAGGGAGCAAACAGGUCAAGCCCCAAACUGAACAACAGUCCUGGGUUCCUUCUUGGAGGAGACAAGCCCCAUUGGCUGUUGGAAAAACCACUGGGACAGACAUAAGGGCUGGUGAAGCCUAGGCUCUGCUCACGAGGAGUGUGUGCAUGCUAGCUUGCCAACAGUCAAGACAGAAAGAGCCUUGCACUAGCAGAAGCUGCACUUCCCAGUCAGAACAGGGUGAACACCUGAGCCCCACUAACUCCACACCAGAGUCUGCUGAAAGAUCUGGUCCCACUGGGAAAAGGCUGCAAGAUCUGGGAGCCCUGGGAGCUCAGUCUAGUUAUGUAGAGAUAGACCAAGGGAUCUGGAGUGUUAUCCAGGUGGGCUGGCAGUAGCCAGUAUCAGUGUGCACAUGGGGAAGUGCCACAGGAGCACGGAACACCUAAGUGCUGAAUCUCAGGUAGCCCUGAAAGAAGCAGCCUGGAGAUUGUGGGGUGUGACCUGAGUGGGGAAGUGGUGGCCUUUGUCAGUACUCACAUGAUCACACAGUUCCUCUCCCAGCAAUGGUACCCUGGCUCUGCCUACUCCGCACACAGUUUAGUGCUGAAUAUGGGGCAGACAGGUACCAGGACAAGGCUACCACAGAGGCAGCCCAGAUCUCUGGUGGAAGCACAGCCAUCUCAAUUCCUACAGCUACAGUGCCUCAACCCCCAGUUCCAGCCUAUACCACCCCACGGCUUUGCACUGAAAUAAAUACAAUAGAGGAAGGGACACAAUCUUGAACUGCUUCUGAAUGGAGCCACUGAUGCCUCCUAGGCAGCUCAUAGGUUCUGUGAGCUCAAGGGGUCACUUGCUUCAGUAAUCACCUACUUUGGGGCAGAGCAUGCAUUCAAGGGCAACAUAACCCAAUCAAGUCUGACCCUCAUGGCUUCUAUUCCAACAGUUGGGGGGUAGACCCCACCCUUGUCAGAACAGCAACAGCUAUGGAGCAGAAAGGAAGUCUCAUUCUAGGCUCUAGACCCUCCAACACCAACCAUACCCCCUGUCAAGGGGAUAACAGCCAGCACACCCUGAGGAAAGAUGUGGCUAGCGUUCAUAUCAAAAUCAGAUCUUGUACCAAAGACACUGGACACACAGAGUCUACACAAGGAUGCUCCCACAUAAAAAACACCCCUUCAUGGCCACAGUAGUAACUGUUUCCCCUAAAUUCUUACAGACAGAGGAGGUUAAAUAAAAUGAAAAAGCAGAGGAACUACUUCCAAUUAAAAGAGCAAGGAAAGUCCCCCUAAAGAACAAAUAAUGAAAGACCUCACCAGUCUACCAGAUGCUGAAUUCAGAAAGUUAGUAAUAAAAAAUGCUAACUGAAUUAAAUAUUAUUAAUAGAAGACAGAUCAGUAUAACAAGGAACUAGAAGCUGUAGCUAUGAACCAAUGAACAAUGUAUAAUUCAAUUGCCAAGAUAAAAAGCAGUCCAAAAGCAAUGAAUAGCCAACUAAAUGACACAGAAGAACAAAACAAGUGACCUGGAAGAAUCACUUCCAGAAUAGCGGAAACCACCCAAUCAGAACAGUAGACAGAAAAACAAGUGAAAAAAAAAAAAUGAAAGGAACAUAUGAGAUCUAUGGGAUAAUAUAUAACAUGAUAAC
rnacentral:lncRNA from 1 species